UACGGAGGGUGCGAGCGUUAUUCGGAAUAGCUGGGCGUAAAGGGCACGCAGGCGGCCUUGUAAGUGAGAUGUGAAAUCCCCGGGCUUAACCUGGGAAUAGCAUUUCAGACUGCGAGUCUAGAGUACUUUAGGGAGGGGUAGAAUUCCACGUGUAGCGGUGAAAUGCGUAGAGAUGUGGAGGAAUACCGAAGGCGAAGGCAGCCCCUUGGGCAUGUACUGACGCUCAUGUGCGAAAGCGUGGGGAGCAAACAGG
rnacentral:rRNA from 1 species